ensembl:snoRNA SNORD12C small nucleolar RNA, C/D box 12C
GCUGGUGUAAAUGAUGACUUUACUUUUUUCCCCAUCAGAUCGAUCAUGCUGAUCUCUAAAUACUUGCCAGUUAAUUCUGAUGCAUCAGC